rnacentral:rRNA from 1 species
UUCGCAAUGCCCGAAAGGGUGACGAAGCGACGCCGCGUGGGUAAGGAAGGCCUUCGGGUUGUAAAGCCCUGUCAGGAGUUAAGAAAUGUAGACUCGCUAAUAUCGGGUCUAUUUGACAAAGGCUCCAAAGGAAGCCACGGCUAACUCUGUGCCAGCAGCCGCGGUAAUACAGAGGUGGCAAGCGUUGUUCGGAAUUAUUGGGCGUAAAGAGCACGUAGGUGGAUUUGUAAGUCAGACGUGAAAGCCUCCUGUUCAACGGAAGAAUUGCAUCUGAAACUACAAACCUUGAGUGUAGGAGGGGAGAAUGGAACUUCUGGUGGAGCGGUGAAAUGCGUAGAUAUCAGAAGGAACGCCGGCGGCGAAAGCGAUUCUCUGGCCUAUUACUGACACUCAGUGUGCGAAAGCUAGGGGAGCAAACGGGAUUAGAUACCCCGGUAGUCCUAGCCGUAAACGAUGGGCACUAAGUAGAGGGGUUUU